rnacentral:lncRNA from 13 species
UUUUUAUCAAAAACGGGUGGUAAUAACGCCAGAGAUAACAUUCUUCGUAUUCUUAAAAAAACAAUUUACAAAUCAAUGCUCCAUAAGAUGUUCCUGGAAAGGACUGCGACAAAAUUUUUAAGUUUCAAACUUACAUCUCAUACAAAUUAUAAAAAAAGAGGUAAUACUACGUUACGCGACGUUCACUGAAGCAGAAUUUGAAAACGUUGUUGCAGAGUGGCUACGCUUUGCGAAACAACGAAAUGAUAGAGAACGAGCAAAGGAAAAUAUUGAGGUCGAAAAUGUUGUCAGAAAUGUUGAAAAUAAUUAGAAUUAAAUGUUCAAAAUAAAAGUUCAAAUUAAAAGUUCCUAUAUUAGAAUUGUGAAAAAAAAAGUUUGUAGCGUUUUACUCUAAGAAAAAUAUAUGAAUUUUACUAAAAAAAAGUUUUUUUGUAAAACGCUACGAACUUUUAAUCACCCAAUAUUAAAUAUUAAAAGUUUCUAUAUUAUAUUAUAUAAUAAAAUUAAUAUAUUUUAUGAAUUAUACAUUUAAAAAUUAAAUUUUUAUUUUUAUUUUCUUUAAAUAGAAAUUUUAUCCUAUAUAUAUGUUAUAGAUUUGACAGACUGUUUUGCUUUAUAGAGAUGUAAAAUAAGAUGUAAAAUAAAAUGUGAUGUACUUUAAGUUUCAUAUGCAACAAAUAAAAUGUGAUAUACUUUAAUUAAAAUAAAAUGUGAUAUACUUAAGUUUAAUAUACAAA